CUCAAUUGGAAAGAGGAGUGGCGGACGGGUGAGUAACACGUGGGUAACCUACCCAUCAGAGGGGGAUAACACUUGGAAACAGGUGCUAAUACCGCAUAACAGUUUAUGCCGCAUGGCAUAAGGGUGAAAGGCGCUUUCGGGUGUCGCUGAUGGAUGGACCCGCGGUGCAUUAGCUAGUUGGUGAGGUAACGGCUCACCAAGGCCACGAUGCAUAGCCGACCUGAGAGGGUGAUCGGCCACACUGGGACUGAGACACGGCCCAGACUCCUACGGGAGGCAGCAGUAGGGAAUCUUCGGCAAUGGACGAAAGUCUGACCGAGCAACGCCGCAUGAGUGAAGAAGGUUUUCGGAUCGUAAAACUCUGUUGUUAGAGAAGAACAAGGACGUUAGUAACUGAACGUCCCCCGACGGUAUCUAACCAGAAAGCCACGGCUAACUACGUGCCAGCAGCCGCGGUAAUACGUAGGUGGCAAGCGUUGUCCGGAUUUAUUGGGCGUAAAGCGAGCGCAGGCGGUUUCUUAAGUCUGAUGUGAAAGCCCCCGGCUCAACCGGGGAGGGUCAUUGGAAACUGGGAGACUUGAGUGCAGAAGAGGAGAGUGGAAUUCCAUGUGUAGCGGUGAAAUGCGUAGAUAUAUGGAGGAACACCAGUGGCGAAGGCGGCUCUCUGGUCUGUAACUGACGCUGAGGCUCGAAAGCGUGGGGAGCAAACAGGAUUAGGUACCCUGGUAGUCCACGCCCUAAACGAUGCGAACUGGAUGUUGGGUGCAAUUUGACACGCAGUAU
rnacentral:rRNA from 1 species